GGGUGGAUGAUAGACCCUGACAGUAAAGGUGUUAAGUUCAUGUUACGUGCUUCUCUGCUAGGCACCUACUUUUCUCCCUCGUUAUCUCUUACGUCCAUAAUUAUAUAUUGGAAAAUACAGAUUGAAAAAUAACCUUCAGAGAGUCCAUCCCUCUGAUUCCAGAAAACUGAGAAGCAAGCAGAAGAGCAGUGGAGAUGGAGUCCAAAAUGUCACCUUUAUCCUGAAAUGUGGAGAACAUGAUUAGAGGUAUCAUUUGGGGUUCUGGUUAUGUGAGCAAGAGAAACUGGUGAAUUUAAGGACAAAAACAACCUAUUGGAAGGCUGUCAUGGAACUCACUGUAUUUAGGGGAAGACUGGAAAACCAGGCUUGGAAUAGAGAAGUGGCCCCAGUUGUCAAGGCAAGGCCUGUAGAAUGGAGUUGCACAGGACCAUCACUGAUCCCACUGGCUGCUGUGAAGAAACAUAAUAUUCACCUUGAUACUUUCUCCUUUAAAAGUCAGGGAGGGCAUCCAGAAUGAAGGAGUGCUCUGAUUAAUGAGGUGGGUGG